rnacentral:rRNA from 1 species
CGCGUAGGUGGUUUGUUAAGCGAGAUGUGAAAGCCCCGGGCUCAACCUGGGAAUUGCACCCGAUACUGGCCGACUGGAGUGCGAGAGAGGGAGGUAGAAUUCCACGUGUAGCGGUGAAAUGCGUAGAUAUGUGGAGGAAUACCGGUGGUGAAGGCGGCCUCCUGGCUCGACACUGACGCUGAGGUGCGAAAGCGUGGGGAGCAAACA